rnacentral:rRNA from 1 species
GGGGGGGGGGGGGGGGGGGGGGGGGGGGGGGGGGGGGGGGGGGGGGGCGGGGGGGGGCCUGGCGGCGGGGGGCGGACGGGGGGGUAAUGCAUCGGGACGGGCCCAGGAGUGGGGGAUAGCCCGGCGAAAGCCGGAUUAAUACAGCAUACGACCUGAGGGUGAAAGCGGGGGACCGGAAGGCCUCGCGCUAUUGGAGCGGCCGAUGUCGGAUUAGCUAGUUGGUGGGGUAAAGGCUUACCAAGGCGACGAUCCGUAGCUGGUCUGAGAGGACGACCAGCCACACUGGGACUGAGACACGGCCCAGACUCCUACGGGAGGCAGCAGUGGGGAAUUUUGGACAAUGGGGGCAACCCUGAUCCAGCCAUGCCGCGUGCGGGAAGAAGGCCUUCGGGUUGUAAACCGCUUUUGUUCGGGAAGAAAUCCUCUGGGCUAAUACCCCGGGGGGAUGACGGUACCGGAAGAAUAAGCACCGGCUAACUACGUG